GACGAACGCUGGCGGCGUGCUUAACACAUGCAAGUCGAACGGAAAGGCCUGCUUUCCCUUGUGGAUUGCGGGUGCUCGAGUGGCGAACGGGUGAGUAACACGUGAGUGAUCUGCCCCCAACUUGGGUAUAAGCCUGGGAAACUGGGUCUAAUUCCCGAUAGGACUGCAGGGUGGUGCCUGUGGUGGAAAACGAUUUUCUAGUGGUUGGGGAUGAGCUCGCGGCCUAUCAGCUUGUUGGUGGGGUAAUGGCCUACCAAGGCGGCGACGGGUAGCCGGCCUGAGAGGGUGGACGGCCACAUUGGGACUGAGAUACGGCCCAGACUCCUACGGGAGGCAGCAGUGGGGAAUAUUGCACAAUGGGCGGAAGCCUGAUGCAGCGACGCAGCGUGGGGGAUGACGGCCUUCGGGUUGUAAACUCCUUUCGACCGCGAGGAAGCCACCUGGUUGGAAGGGUGGUGACGGUAGUGGUAGAAGAAGCACCGGCUAACUACGUG
rnacentral:rRNA from 1 species